rnacentral:rRNA from 1 species
UACGUAGGGGGCAAGCGUUGUCCGGAUUUAUUGGGCGUAAAGGGCUCGUAGGCGGCCAACUAAGUCAGACGUGAAAUCCCUCGGCUUAACCGGGGAACUGCAUCUGAUACUGGAUGGCUUGAGAUUGGGAGAGGGAUGCGGAAUUCCAGGUGUAGCGGUGAAAUGCGUAGAUAUCUGGAGGAACACCGGUGGCGAAGGCGGCAUCCUGGACCAACACUGACGCUGAGGAGCGAAAGCCAGGGGAGCAAACGGG